rnacentral:rRNA from 1 species
GAUGAACGCUGGCGGCGUGCCUAAUACAUGCAAGUCGAGCGGACGGACGAGGAGCUUGCUGCUCUGAUGUUAGCGGCGGACGGGAGAGUAACACGUGGAUCCCCUACCUAUAAGACUGGGAUAACUACGGGAAACCGGAGCUAAUACCGGAGAAUCUUUUGAACCGCAGGGUUCGAAAGUGAAAGACGGUCUUGCGGUCACGAAUAGAGGGAUCCGCGCUGCAUUGGCUAGUUGGUAAGGUAAAGGCUUACUAAGGCAACGAUGCAUAGCCGACCUCAGAGGGUGGUCGGCCACCCUGGAGCGUGGCCACGGUCCUGGCUCCUGCGGUAGGGAGCAGUCGCCAAUCUUCCGCAGUGGUCGAAAGCCUGACGGAGCGACGCCGCGCGUGUGAUGACGGUCUUCGGUUCGUAAUACUCGGUUUUUAGUUGAGAACAUCUGUGUAAUUAACUGUGCACAUCUUGACGGUACCUAAUCAGAAAGCCCCGGCUAACUACGUG